AUACUUACCUGGCAGGGGAGAUACCGUGAUCAUGAAGGUGGUUUUCCCAGGGCGAGGCUUACCCAUUGCACUCCGGAUGUGCUGACCCCUGCGAUUUCCCCAAAUGUGGGAAACUCGACUGCGUAAUUUGUGGUAGCGGGGCACUGCGUUCGCGCUCUCCCCUG
rnacentral:snRNA from 1 species